UUUGGAGUUAAACUGCAAACCAGAAGCUCAAAUCAUGAUAGCGGAAACACCGGUCAGUAUUCAUCUUUGGCGUAAAGGCCCUGAUGGGUUGUUAGAUGCGCCUAGGAAAAAAAAGUUCAAAACAUAUGUAUCUUAAGCGUAUGCAACAGCCUCCUACAGAAAAACUCGAGCAAAACUGGUAUCUAACACCGGAGACUCUGUGGGGAUUUAAAUUUUUUUAUGAGGUCGGCGAGCUAUCUUUCUUCAUGAGAAACGAAGGGGGCUUUGGACCA